GACGAACGCUGGCGGCGUGCUUAACACAUGCAAGUCGAACCGGGCCUGUCUUCUUUUUUGGGGGGUGGGUUGAGUGGCGAACGGGUGAGUAUCACGUGAGUAACCUGCCCUUCGGUCCUGGAUAACCGCUUGAAAGGGCGGCUAAUACGGGGUGGUCCGGUUGGUCCGCAUGGGCUGGUCGGGAUAGACUCACUGUUUUUGGUGUUUCGGCGGGGGAUGGGCUCGCUGCCUAUCAGCUUGUUGGUGGGGUGAUGGCCUACCAAGGCGGUGACGGGUAGCCGGCCUGAGAGGGUGGGCGGCCACACUGGGACUGAGAUACGGCCCAGACUCCUACGGGAGGCAGCAGUGGGGGGUAUUGCACAAUGGGCGGAAGCCUGAUGCAGCGACGUCGCGUGAGGGAUGGAGGCCUUCGGGUUGUGAACCUCUGUUUC
rnacentral:rRNA from 1 species